ensembl:snRNA U6 U6 spliceosomal RNA
GGGCUCGCUUUGUCAGCACAUAUACUAAAAUUGGAACGAUACAGAGAAGAUUAGCUCGGCCCCUGCACAAGGAUGACACCCAAAUUCCUGAAGCCUUCCAUAUGUUU